GUUACUUCUUGGCCUUUUGGUUAAGAUCGAGUGUAAUAUCUGUUCUUGUCAGUUUAACAAUUCAGCUCACCACAUCCUCUGAGCUAGAUUAUAAACUCCAUGAAGGAAGGCCUUUAUUAUUUAUUUAUGGCCACAUCUCAAGUACCAAGCAGAUUAACUAGGACACAUGCUGAAGAGAUACUUGUU